AUUGAACGCUGGCGGCAGGCCUAACACAUGCAAGCCGAGCGGAUGAAGGGAGCUUGCUCCUGGAUUCAGCGGCGGACGGGUGAGUAAUGCCUAGGAAUCUGCCUGGUAGUGGGGGAUAACGUCCGGAAACGGGCGCUAAUACCGCAUACGUCCUGAGGGAGAAAGUGGGGGAUCCUCGGACCUCACGCUAUCAGAUGAGCCUAGGUCGGAUUAGCUAGUUGGUGGGGUAAAGGCCUACCAAGGCGACGAUCCGUAACUGGUCUGAGAGGAUGAUCAGUCACACUGGAACUGAGACACGGUCCAGACUCCUACGGGAGGCAGCAGUGGGGAAUAUUGGACAAUGGGCGAAAGCCUGAUCCAGCCAUGCCGCGUGUGUGAAGAAGGUCUUCGGAUUGUAAAGCACUUUAAGUUGGGAGGAAGGGCAGUAAGUUAAUACCUUGCUGUUUUGACGUUACCAACAGAAUAAGCACCGGCUAACUUCGUG
rnacentral:rRNA from 1 species